AACAGUAAAAAAAAUCCACCUGCCUUUAAAGUUAUCCAUAUAAAUACCCACAGUUUCUCUCUUUAUUGUCAUGGGAUGCAGAUGUCCUGGCUGAAGCAUAACACUGCAGAGGGACCACAGAGCACACAGCUCGUGGCCACCACCGGGGUUGCAGCCCCUGCUUUGCCACCAGCCCCACCACCAGCCACAUCUUCUGUGCCUUCCUUUCUGCUCCUGCAGAGCGGAUAGGCCUGCCUGAAUUCAUCCCUGCAAUUCAUCUAACAAUUGAAAAAGUUGAGCUGAACUUGUAAGCGAACGUAAAUGGGAUCGGUCACGAUUCAGGCAGGAGAGAUCCCGUACCUGGGAUGACUGAGACUGAGCCAUGAAACCCAACACAAGGAGCUUGUGCAGGAGGGAAUCUGAAAGCUUCCUGAGCUCUCACAGGGCAUCUGUAUAUGGAGUAAACUCCAGUUACAUCUGUUGUAGUGGAGUCUUACUCUUAGGGUGUUGCAAGGGCAGCAUUACUGGAGACUGACUCCAGCCUAAUAACAUCCUGGGUCCUUCAGAAACUACCACUGAGCAGGCAUAUCUGAGAGCUGGGGCAGGUACUGAUACUGCCCG